CCCUUAGAUGUUCUGGGCGGCCCGCGCACUACAUUGGCACUCUCAAUAAGUUCCUAGAUCUAAAACUUUGGGGUAUUCUAUUAAGUGGUGUCGUGACUGGGAUCAACCCUUGCAAUUAUUGGUUACGAACGAGGAAUUCCUUGUAAUCGCGGUUUAUCAGCCCGCGUUGAAUGCGUCCCUGCCCUUUGUACACACCGCCCGUCGCUCCUACCGAUGAAUCGUCCGGUGAAGUUCAUGGAGUGGUGGUUGUUCCAGCUGCUGUCGAAGUGAAAUGGACCUCACGAUUUAGAGGAAGGAGAAGUCGUAACA
rnacentral:rRNA from 1 species